rnacentral:misc_RNA from 1 species
UACGAAGGGUGCAAGCGUUAUCCGGAUUUAUUGGGCGUAAAGAGUUCGUAGGCUUUUUGGUAAGUUGUUUUUCAAAGACCGAGGCUCAACUUCGGGAAGGGAAACAAUACUACCAGGAUUGAAAUAUUUCGGGGCUACUGGAACUUAUCGUGUAGGAGUGAAAUCCGUUGAUAUGAUAAGGAACACCAAGGGCGAAGGCGGGUAGCUAGGAAUACUUUGACGCUGAGGAACGAAAGCCAGGGGAGCGAAACGG